rnacentral:rRNA from 1 species
UGGUACCUACGGGAGGCAGCAGUGGGGAAUAUUGCACAAUGGGCGCAAGCCUGAUGCAGCAACGCCGCGUGAGCGAAGAAGGUCUUCGGAUCGUAAAGCUCUGUCCUUGAGGAAGAAGGAAGUGACGGUACUCAAGGAGGAAGCCCCGGCUAACUACGUGCCAGCAGCCGCGGUAAUACGUAGGGGGCAAGCGUUAUCCGGAAUUAUUGGGUUUAAAGGGUGCGCAGGCGGACCAUCAAGUCAGCGGUAAAAUCGUGGGGCCCAACCCCAUCCCGCCGUUGAAACUGGCGGUCUUGAGUGAGCGA